rnacentral:rRNA from 1 species
AUUGAACGCUGGCGGCAGGCCUAACACAUGCAAGUCGAACGAGUGGCGGACGGGUGAGUAAUGGCUGGGAAAAUGCCCGAUGCAGGGGGAUCAGUGCUGGAAACGGUAGCUAAUACCGCGUAACAGGCGAUGUGCCCAGAUGGGGUUAGCUUGUAGGUGAGGUAACGGCGCACCUAGGCGACGAUCCCUAGCUGGCCUGAGAGGGUGACCAGCCACACUGGGACUGAGACACGGUCCAGACUCCUACGGGAGGCAGCAGUGGGGAAUAUUGCGCAAUGGGCGCAAGCCUGAUGCAGCCACGCCGCGUGUGUGAAGAAGGCCUUCGGAUUGUAAAGCACUGUCGGUGGGGAGGCGUUAUCCGCCGAGAAAGCCCCGGCUAACUACGUGCCAGCAGCCGCGGUAAUUC